rnacentral:rRNA from 1 species
GACGAACGCUGGCGGCGUGCUUAACACAUGCAAGUCGAGCGGUAAGGCCCUUUCGGGGGUACACGAGCGGCGAACGGGUGAGUAACACGUGGGUGACCUGCCCUUAGCUCUGGGAUAAGCCUGGGAAACUGGGUCUAAUACCGGAUAUGACUCCAUAACGCAUGUUGUGGGGUGGAAAGCCUUGUGCGGCUAGGGAUGGGCCCGCGGCCUAUCAGCUUGUUGGUGGGGUGAUGGCCACCAAGGCGACGACGGGUAGCCGGCCUGAGAGGGCGACCGGCCACACUGGGACUGAGACACGGCCCAGACUCCCACGGGAGGCAGCAGUGGGGAAUCUUGCGCAAUGGGCGAAAGCCUGACGCAGCGACGCCGCGUGGGGA